ACCCCCCCACUCACUACAACCUGUACUCUAUACUAGAUAGCAAGGAACCGACCCGCGCCGGCGGCGGGCACCUGGUGGGCGGCGCGCCCGGCGUGUUGCGGCCCGCGCCGCCGCAGGACAUCAAGCGCAAGUCCAUCGUCGUGGGCGGCCGCGAUGAAAGUUGAAGAGCUAACCGCAUCACAUAUUAGAGAAUUUAAAUGGAACUUCAUAGGUGUACCUAACUUACGGCGAAAAUCAUUCUCGAGCAUUAUAUCCAUUAUAAUAAAAAUACGUGUUUAAUAAAAGCCUAAUUUAAGCUGCAAAAAAAAAAAGAAAUAUCGUAGUUCUCUUAAGCUUAAAUGUUUCGGGCGAUCUAAUUAAUAAUGUCAGUGCACAUGGACUUAGACGGUAUAGCUUUUUGCUAAUAUUUAAGCUACUUAAAAUUCGAUAUGUAUAAUUGUUAGGUACCCCCGCAAAAAGUAUUACUUUCUAUAUAAUCAGAUCAGGAGCAUUGACGGUUGCUUUUUUUUACAAAGAAGAUAAAAUAUUUUUAUGAAAUGACAAAGUAUUAAAUUUAGCUUGAUAACGUCUUGAGUGCUGAUCGCAUUACAUACUAAAUUAAAUAUUCUAAUUAAUCUUAGUGGUAUGAUUCCGUGGGAUGAAAUGCGGCCGAUGAAAGUACGUUAAAUGUGCAGUACAAAGACAUACCGAGCCAGUUACCAAGAUUUCUGGAAUCACUGAGACAGUGCUCCCAUUUCUCCCAUCGGACACGAUUAAUGUUUUCAAAAGUUGCAAUACGUUAUUAUGUUAAGAAUCGCUGUGAAUAAUUUGCAGACUUGCAUAUGCUACCGCACAAAUAAAAUAAAAAUACAAAAAAAAAAUGUUUUAAAAUAAGUGUCUAUUACGGUUGCUGUAAAGGUCCUCGUAAUCACGUGUGGUGGCAAAUGCAUACCAGUAUGCAUCUUCAAUGUGUAGUUGUAGAUUAGGCUUCAUUGAUAUAUAUUUUUAUAUAUUGUGAUAAGCGUUGUUAUGCCGACAAGCGAGCAUUUAUUUAAUUACUAACGAAAGAUUUGGUACGUUCGUUAAGGUGUCAUGGGUGAUAACGAGAACUCGAAACAGUCAGGAACAGUUUAUAAUAGAUUGUCGGGCAUUGGAUUCAGGACGAGAGUGCCUGCGCGACUUGCUGCAACGAGCAAGUUCUCAGCUGUCAGGCACAGUCUGCGGCGCCGGAAGGAUUCAUAUUAUACUUUGUUAGUGGGUGAUUUUUGUAUUCCAUCCAGGAAUAUGAAAGUCUCAUUCACUAAUUACAUAUUUGCUCUGGUUACAUAGGAAUACAUAUAAAAUAAUAUUUACCAAUGCGUAGUAAAAGCACUUAUAGAAGAGUUUCUGCAUAAAUUAGUGUAGGUUGGUUAUCAUUCAUUAUCACCUUUCGCUUAGCUCUCAUCGCGCGUCAUGUUCACGUUUGCUUGUGAUCUGUGAUUUUAGCACAUAAUAUAAUGAACCCCGUCUGCUUAGAAAGUCUCAGUGGUUAUUUUAGUAAGUUCCAAGUAAUAUGUAAUGCCGCGGAACGUAAACGAUAAACGUGCAAUAUUCCUAAGCACAUAAACGAAUGAGAAGUGAUGCUUAAAAUACCCAGUACCCGAUUGGUUGAAGUUCUCUAUUGCUUUUAGGAUACAUCCGCUUCAUCUAGAUCUGUAACUUAUAUAAGUACUUACGAAUGUAAUCACGGAUAGGGGCCAGCAGUGCCGCGUCGCGUACAUGAGGAGUUAUGGAACUACGUGAACCACAUGUCAGAAAACCAAAGAUAAAUCACAUUUUUAGAUUUAUUGAUUGAGAUUAAAUGCCACCUGAAAUUCAAUAAGUUAUAUCCCGAAUUACUCGAUGGUUCCAAAACUCCUUGUUUUUCUUGCAAUACAUAUAUGAUUUAGGUGUAAAGUUAUAGUAAAUUAUUUCACAAUUAAGUUAGGUUCUCGAUUUUAUUAUUUUUUAUUUAUUGUUUUACGAACCAAAAUUAUCUCGUUUUUUUUCACUUUUAAAGUGUUGUACGCUUUUUUUACAUACCUCUAUUUACAUUAUUUUAACAAUCAUGAUCAAAUACAUAUAUUUUUUCAUUAAAAAUGGGGAUGUAAGCAAAGAUGCAUUCCACGAGGAAACUCAAGUCUGUGUCUUUGUCGUCGUUAAGUCUAGAUUGUUUUGUUUUGUUGUCGUGUAGGUACAUAAGAGGCUACCCUCGGUUACACGCGCCUGAUGGUGGCGCUCGACGGGCUUCGGCGCAUCGCAAACAAACCGACAGGCUUGCCUUUGCACCAAGUGAUUUAGUUUGUAUUGACAUCUUUUGUAUGAUGUAUUUAAUAUACAGGAAAAUCUCAGAAAGAGCGUUUUCUUGAUUUUUAUUUAUUAUAAAAUAAAAUUAUGAAUUUAAUUUGC